CCUACGGGGAGCAGCAGUGAGGAAUAUUGGUCAAUGGGCGGAAGCCUGAACCAGCCAAGUAGCGUGCAGGAUGACGGCCCUACGGGUUGUAAACUGCUUUUAUACGGGAAUAACGCGCCUUACGUGUAGGGCUUUGCAUGUACCGUAUGAAUAAGGACCGGCUAAUUCCGUGCCAGCAGCCGCGGUAAUACGGAAGGUCCGGGGGUUAUCCGGAUGUAUUGGGUUUAAGGGGAGCGUAGGCCGCAUGUGAAGAGUGCUGUGAAAGGUCCGGGCUCAACCCGGGCCUUGAAGCGCGAACUGGCGUGCUUGAGUCCGCGGAAGGCAGGCGGAAUUCGUCGUGUAGCGGUGAAAUGCUUAGAUAUGACGAAGAACCCCGAUUGCGAAGGCAGCUUGCUGCAGCGGAACUGACGCUGAUGCUCGAAAGCGCGGGUAUCGAACAGGAUUAGAUACCCUAGUAGUC
rnacentral:rRNA from 1 species